CAAUCAUACCAAGAGAUCCUUCCCAGUUCUCCGCUUCAACUAUGAACAUGUGCGAAUACCGUUUGAGAUCUCGCUCUGGAUUCUACUGGCAUCUUUGAUGAAACUGGCUUUCAGAACAAUCUGAAAAAAUGCAGGAUCUGCCAAAACACGGUUUCUUGGCGGGGUCCCACAACAGCCAGUGGAGAACUCCAUCUUGGCAUUAUCAGCUGGGGCAGCUGCAAAGUCCCGCCCCUGGUGCCGGAGCCCGGCCCUGCUGUGCUGGAGGAUAAGAGACCUGUUGCAGGCAUUCACACCAACGCCAUUCCAACGUCCCCUCCGUUUGCACUCAGAGCAGUGUCACUGGGGCUGAGGCAAAACCCCAGCCAAUCAUAUGAGUGCUCUCACCCUGCUGGAAAUAGAAAAUGGUGGAAAAGUUUUGCAGUGAAUACAUUUUGGACACAAAGUACUUCACACACCCUUCACAGUAGGGGGUCACCAAACCCCGGUCCUGGAUGACCACUGGUUUUCACCUUAAAAUCUGACCAAAGAAACCAGGUGAGGGUUCCACCUGCUCCCUGGGCUGUCCAGUGUGGUCCCAGAGUCCUGCCUGCUGAUCGUGAUGGGGCUCCUGGUGGGGGGUCUCAUCAAGGCCAGCGGGGAGGAACUGCCCGUGCUAGACUCCGAGCUCUUCUUCCUGUGCCUGCUGCCGCCAAUCAUCCUGGACGCCGGCUACUUCCUGCCCAUCCGCCCGUUCGCCGAGAACAUCGGCACCAUCCUGACCUUCGCCGUGGCGGGGACCCUCUGGAACGUGCUGUUCCUGGGGGGCACGCUGUACGCGGUGGCCCAGCUGGAGGCCUCUCGCCUGGGGGGCGUGGACCUGCUGGCCUGCAUGAUCUUCAGCGCCAUCGUCUCCGCCGUCGACCCCGUGGCCGUGCUGGCCGUCUUCGAGGAGAUCAACAUCAACGAGCUGCUGCACGUGCUGGUGUUCGGGGAGUCGCUGCUCAACGACGCCGUCACCGUGGUGCUGUACCACCUGUUUGAGGAGUAUGUGGGUGUGACCUCAUUCAGCGCGCUGGACGUGGUCCUGGCAGUGCUCUGCUUCCUCGUGGUUUCGCUGGGCGGGGUCCUCGUUGGAGCCACCUAUGGCAUCCUGGUGGCUCUGACCUCCCGCUUCACCACCAACCUCCGCGUCAUUGAGCCGCUUCUCGUCUUCGUCUACAGCUACAUGGCGUACCUGUCUGCCGAGGUCUUCCACCUGUCCGGCAUCAUGAGCCUCAUCGCCUGCGGCGUGGUCAUGCGCCCAUACGUGGAGGCCAACAUGUCCCACAAGUCCUACACCACAAUCAAGUACUUCCUGAAGAUGUGGAGCAGCGUGAGCGAGACGCUCAUCUUCAUCUUCCUCGGAGUCUCCACCGUCGCUGGACCCCACGACUGGAACUGGACCUUCGUCACGGUCUCUGUCAUCCUGAGCCUCGUCUCCCGUGUGCUGGGAGUGGUUGGUCUGACUUACAUCGUCAAUAAGUUUCGCAUGGCCAAGCUCACCCCAACGGAUCAAUUCAUUUUGGCCUACGGUGGCCUGAGAGGGGCAAUCGCCUUCUCACUGGGUUUCCUGCUGAAACCACAGCACUUUCCCAUGAGGAAUAUGUUCCUCACCUCCAUCAUCACCAUCGUCUUCUUCACCGUAUUCGUGCAGGGCAUGACAAUCCAGCCGCUGGUGGAGCUACUGGCCGUGAAGAGGAAGCGAGAGGGAAAAGGGUCCAUCAAUGAGGAGAUCCACACAAUGUUCAUGGACCAUCUCCUGGCUGGUAUUGACAGCGUCUGUGGAUAUUAUGGGCAUCAUCUUUGGAAAGACAAACUGAGCCGCUUUAACAGGCGCUACAUACAGCCCUGUCUGGUAGCGGAGGAAGGCUCCAGGGAGCCGCAGCUCCUGGCCUUCUACAACAAGAUGGAGAUGAAGCAGGCUAUUGAGCUGGUGCAGAGUGGGGGCGAGGCCAGGCCCCUUAGAACUGUGGACUCCUCCGCAUCCAUUCAGAGCGUCCAGUCCCAGGAGCCAGCAAGGGACCGGAGACUGCCCAAGGUCUCCGUGGAUCAGCAAGCCGAGAUCUUGACAAUUCUGAGGAGGAAACUGCAGAAGGCCGAACAGAAGGGGCAUUGGUGGCCCAGUCGUAGAGCUCCUUCCUGCCAUGCCGGUGGGCCGGGUUCGUAUCUCAGCCAAUGCCAUGUGCAAGUCAGUGCAUUCGUAGUGCCGGUCCCAAGCCCAGAUAAAUGGGAGGGUUGCGUCAGGAAGGGCAUCCGGCAUAAAACAUAUGCCAAAUUAAAUAUGCGGAUCAGGAUGAUCCGCUGUGCCGACCCUGAACGGGAACAGCCGAAAGAAGAAGAAGAAAAAAAAAAGUUUUCCGUUUACUCAGGUUCCCUUUGUCUAAUAUUACAUUUUGUCUAAAGAUUUGAAAACAUUCAGUGUGACAAAUGUUCAAUUCAGAACUCGUCUACUGCAAGCCAAAUCUACCUACGGGUACAAAUAAAGUAACCUGAACCUGAACCUUAAUUAUAGAGGAAAUCAGGAAGGGGUCAAAUACUUUUUCACGGCACUGUCAGUGUCUAAAAUAUUUCUGAAUGCUGAAUAAUUUGAUAUUCGUCUUUCCGAUGUUGCAGUUUUAUUCCAAUAGAAGGCCCACGCUGGUGGGCAACCCCUUCGAGGACGACUUCCAGGAGCAGCUCCGUGAGAGGCGGAGGGCAAAGCUGGGCAGGCGGAUGAGUGCCUUCCUGUUGGAAUUGCCGAGUCAGCAGGACUCUCCCUCCAGA